UCACGCUUUUGGUUGACAGUGGACAAGUCGCGAGGCGCAUCAGAGGUAUUCAGAUUUAGAUGAUCACUAAACCUAUAAGCCAUAAAGAAAUGGGAGAUGCAGAAUGGACGGGCUUUGGCCUUCAGGAGGGAUAAACCCGCUCCAAGGAAACGGAAGUGACGUGACCUCUGUCAGAAGGUAAAGUAUAGAAACAUAUGUACCUAUUACUUAUUAUUCACAAAUGAUAAGUAAUUACUGAACAUUUACAAUUGACUGGUGCAAACAUUAUCAAUCAAAUGAUUUACACUGAGUGACUCACUCCAGACUAAAACAUAAUGAUGAUAGUUUCAGAUUAAGAAAUGCCUCAUGCAUACAUUUUAUAUCACACCCCCAGUAGUUACCCCCAGAGCCCAGCCUCCUCCCAAGCAGUCUCUGGGUGCUGUCCAUGUACGGCAGGGAUAUCCUCUCCCACAUGGACCAUAUCAAGGCCAGCAUCACCUCCACAUUUGGUUCCAUCUUAAAGAUGGACUCAACCAAAAAGAUCACAAAGCAUCAAAGCAAGGUGGAGCAGCUGUUCCCUGCUCCACCCUCUGGCCCUCAGGUG